AUGCAGCGAUGCUGCCGGGUCAUUGUGUCGCAGCCGCCUGUGCUCCGGCCACAUCAAGGGAACCGCGCCGCGUCAUGGUUCUGCACUGCAGGCUUCGAGCUGCCUGAAUGGUUCAGGAACCCAAAGAAGGACGGGGACUCCUUUGAUGAUGAUGACCAUGACGAAUUUGUGCUCCCGAUCAGGUCCAAUCCCGUGGAGGAACGUAUCCAUGGAGGCAGCUCCAAGCCUCUGUCGAUCCGCCCCGAGGCUGCUUCCCACGAGGACGCCGAGUUCGAGGCUGAUUUCGACGAAGCCAGCAGGAUCCUGACCUCUUGCUUUGCGUCUCCGGAGGCCAUCGUGAUAGCCAUGGACUGCUGCCCUGUCAGGGUAUCAGACCGCAUGGUCGACAAGAUCCUAAGGAGGUUUGGCAGCGAUUGGGUGGCUGCGUUCGGGUUCUUUAUGUGGGCCGGUGCUCAGGAAGGCUACUGCCACUCUGCUGAUUCAUACAACUCGAUGGUUGACAUACUAGGAAAGUUCAAGCAGUUUGAUUUGAUGUGGGGCUUGAUCACUCAGAUGGAUGAGAUUGGUGGUUUGGUGUCGCUGGCAACGAUGACAAAGGUGAUGAGGAGGCUCGCUGGGGCCAGCCGGUGGACCGAUGCCAUAGAUGCCUUCAACAAAAUGGACCGGUUUGGUGUUGUGAAAGACACCACAGCUAUGAAUGUGCUCCUAGACACGCUGUGCAAGGAGAGGAGCGUGAAGCGUGCGAGAGGUGCGUUCCAAGAGUUGAGGGGAUCGGUACCUCCCGACGAGAGUAGUUUCAACACGUUGGUCCAUGGGUGGUGCAAGGCGAGGAUGAUGAACGAAGCCCGUGAUACGAUGAAGGAGAUGGAGGAACAUGGCUUCAAGCCUUCAGUGAUAACUUACACCAGCCUGAUAGAAGCAUACUGCAUGGAGAAAGAUUUUCAGACGGCUUACGCCAUCCUAAACGAGAUGCGUUCGAAAGGAUGCCCUCCAAAUGUUAUCACAUACACGAUCGUGAUGCACGCUCUAGGGAAGGAUGGAAGAACGCAAGAAGCUUUGGAUAUAUUUGACAAGGUGAGGUGCGAUGGUUGUGCCCCAGACGCUUCCUUCUACAACUCUCUCAUCUACAUACUCAGCAGAGCAGGGAGACUGGAGGAUGCAAACUCCAUCGUCGAUAAGAUGUCCAGCACUGGAGUUCCCCCCACUGUUGCUACCUUCAACACCCUAAUUUCUGCUGCCUGUGACCACUCCCAGGCAGAGAAUGCCCUGAAGAUGCUGGUUAGGAUGGAGGAGCAGUCAUGCAAGCCUGACAUCAAGACGUACACCCCAUUGCUGAAGCUGUGCUGCAAAAGGCAAUGGAUAAAGGUACUUCGGUUCCUCAUAUGCCACAUGUUUAGAAAGGACAUCACUCCUGAUUUCAGCACCUAUACCUUGUUGGUAACCUGGCUGUGCCGAAACGGGAAGCCCGCCCAGUCUUGCCUGUUUUUGGAGGAGAUGGUGCUGAAGGGUUUUACGCCGAAGAAAGAAACGUUUGAUCUUGUGACAGAGAAGCUUGAUAAGGCGAAUCUCCAUUCAGCAAAGAAAAAGAUUCAACUUCUCACCCUGCGGGCAGCUGCUGUGAAGCACACUGGUUCCCCUUAUUUGAACAAGGAUGGUGCUGCUGGACAGCAUAGUGACAUACUGUCAAGCGCUUAUGGCUACGAACCUUAG
rnacentral:rRNA from 1 species